rnacentral:sRNA from 1 species
GUGGAUAACUUGCUGCUGGUUGAUCGCACUAUGACUCUGGAAGAAGUCCGCGGCCAGGACACAGUUCCGGAAAGCACAGCCAGGUGGGUUUCAGGGCGCUGAGAAAGCCGCUGGUCGGUCGGCGACCGUCAGGGUUCUCCAGGGUGGGAAUCAGCGGGGUAGGAGCAGAGCGCGGGGGUGCGGGCGCCAGAUCCGGGUUGGAGAGCCGGGGUGCAGGCGCUGAGCCGGGAUUGGAGUGUGGUUGGAGUUGGGGAGCCAAGGGUGCGUGCGGGUGGCCGGGGCUGGGGGCUCCGCUGCGCCCGCUGGCCGACUCCCGCUCAUUGCGCUGGCUCCUCCGCAGGAUGCAGGGUGCCGGGAAAGCGCUGCACGAGUUGCUGCUGUCCGCGCAGCGUCAGGGCUGCCUCACUGCCGGCGUCUACGAGUCAGCCAAAGUCCUGAACGUGCUUUCUGCUGCGAGAACGACAUCGACAUAGUGCGCGUGGGCGAUGUGCAGCGGCUGGCGGCUAUCGUGGGCGCCGGCGAGGAGGCGGGUGCGCCGGGCGACCUGCACUGCAUCCUCAUUUCGAACCCCAACGAGGACGCCUGGAAGGAUCCCGCCUUGGAGAAGCUCAGCCUGUUUUGCGAGGAGAGCCGCAGCGUUAACGACUGGGUGCCCAGCAUCACCCUCCCCGAGUGACAACCCGGCGGGGACCUUG